CGGGUGAGUAAUGUAUGGGGAUCUGCCUGAUGGCGGGGGAUAACUACUGGAAACGGUAGCUAAUACCGCAUAACGUCGCAAGACCAAAGAGGGGGACCUUGGGCCUCUUGCCAUCGGAUGUGCCCAGAUGGGAUUAGCUAGUAGGUGGGGUAAUGGCUCACCUAGGCGACGAUCCCUAGCUGGUCUGAGAGGAUGACCAGCCACACUGGAACUGAGACACGGUCCAG
rnacentral:rRNA from 1 species